UUGGUAUGAUUAUGACCAGGGAUUAUUCGGUAUAAUCAUGACCGUAAUGUUACAAAUGAUGUGGUAAAAGUCAUCUUUGGCCCGUAGUGCAUAGAUGGACUUGGUAUGAUUAUGAUCAGGGAUUAUUCGGUAUAAUCAUGACCGUAAUGUUACAAAUGAUGUGGUAAAAGUCAUCUUUGGCUGAAAACACGAAUAUCCUUGGCCCGUAGUACAUGGAUAAUUUGUGGUCGUGAUACUAUUAAGCUUGAGUCUCAGCAUUAUUGGUUUUACAGUUGUAUAUCUUUGGCCUGUAGUGCAAAGAUGAACUGUUGAUUAUUGGUUUUACAGUUGUAUAUCUUUGGCCUGUAGUGCAAAGAUGAACUGUUGAUUAUUGGUUUUACAGUUGUAUAUCUUUGGCCUGUAGUGCAAAGAUAUACUACUUGUUAGCAAAAUCUUCACCCAGUAGAGGGGGUUGAUAUUAAAUUGAUCAAAAGGUUGUUUGGGUCUAAACUUGAAAGGGAUAAUGAUCCAGAAAGAUCUGAAGUGAAACGCGCAUCUCAAUAAUUGUAGUUUUGUUAAUUUAUUUAAGGCUUCAUACAUAUGAACAAAAAUUGUGGGCUUUAAUGGUGCUUUUUCUCUCUACUCACAUUCUCACUCUCUCCCCGUCUCCAUAAUUUUAAUUUGUUGCUCUAUUGGCCUUGAGAUAUCACUUUGAAAACAAUAUAAGGGAAGACACAUUGAAUACACAGAUUGAUAGACUAGGGGUGGG
rnacentral:lncRNA from 1 species